UUAAAUGAAUUAAUUAUGAAAAUGAGCUAAGAGCGUCAUUUUACCGCAACCUGAGUGUCAGGCUUUGUGUUUUAAAAUGGAAACAAUGGCAACAGUAAUUAUAGGCAAGUUUAUUAAUGGUUCACACUCAAUAAAAUACUUGUAACUGGCCCCUUAGUUCUCUAACGCAGAUACACUUCGCAUUUUAUUUUAAGACACCGUUAACUAAAUAUUAACAAAAGAACGUUUAAGUAGUUUGUUCUUUGUUUACUUCAGAGUAAGUACAUGCUGUUUUAGUCAUAUUUGAUUAGUACUGGCCGAGAACAAGACGAAAGAAACUCGAAUGUCAGGCUAAAUUUUGCAUGUCUUUAUGCAUGUUGUUUUGCCUAAAAUAUGUUUCUGAUUUAUUAUUAUAAAGAGCGAAAAUAAUAAAUGUUAAACAGCCUAUAUUAAACAUUUUGAUAAUGUUCCUAUGACGGUCUAAGACCCUUCCACCAACCUGCCAGCCCAGGGUGUUCCUUAUUUCCAGUUCUGAAAGUUGGCAACCCUACUUUCUACUGAUGGGAGCAAGUAAUUAAGGUGAAUUAAAUUAAAGUUAAAAACACUCCUAAUAAGUCGGCUGAUACGAUUGUACAUUACAUCAAAUAAUUUUUAUUUAUAGCUGACAACUGUUUUUUAAUUUGUUGUUAUUAUUGUUUAGGGCUUAACGCUGAACGUGAAGGAAUAAGUUUAUCUGACCAUAAAGGCCCUUGUUAAAGAGCAGCUGUACAAAGUUGGCUGAUCUGAAAUGUACACGUUUCAGAUUGUUAAACUACGUUUAAUAUCAGAGAUCAAAGUAAACACAAAAGGAAAAUGCUGUUCAGCCAUCCCUUACCUACAGAAUCAACCAGUUCACUAAAUACAAAUGGGUUGCCACACCCGGGCAUGAUCACCGCCAGACCUGUUGUAUCUACACUGAUCAGCCAUAGUGACACUGACAUGGUGGUGGUGUGUUAGUGUGUGUUGUGCUGGUAUGAGUGGAUCAGACACAGCAGCGCUGCUGGAGUUUUUAACACUGUAAAAAAUGAUUCUUGAACCCAGUAAAGUUUUCUUAUUAAAAUGAGUAGAUUUUACCUAAAAUGCUACUUUUUGAACUUUACUUAAUAAAAAGAAUAAACACAGUCAUAUAUUUUAUGUUUUUAUUAUAUUCACAAUUUUGCUAAAACAUUACUUAAAGUUUAGAUGACUAUCAACAUCCACUAGAAUUAAGUACACUGAACAAAAAAUUUUGAGAUUUCUUGGAAAAUCACGUGACGCAGGAUGUUGGCACAAAGAAGAAAAUUUGAAUCAUGCAGGUGCAGUACAUCUAAAGUCAGAAUUUAACAGGUAAGAACACUUUUUCUGUUUAUUUCUAUUUUGCAGUUUUGAGUCAUUUUCUAGUUUUAGACAGUAGAUAUGUAUUGGUUUAUUGUGCUGUUACUGUGGGUGGGGAAAAAGGUAUUUUUAUUGCAAAACAAAUAAGCCGAUGUUGGUGUGCUAGGUAGGAAGCAUGAAUAUAUUUUAGAUUCAAUCUAAUGGAUGGUUUUAGGAGUGUUAAGUCACAAACCACACCAAAACUUAAUUUAUUCGGUGUUUAAGGGAGUAGUCACACAAGGUCUGUUGCCUUGUACUGGAACUUAUUUGGAGUCAUUUCGGCCACGGCAACACAACAAAGCAAUUUUUUUUGUUGCACAUGAAGAUUUUUAGAGGCAGCUGAUGUUGAUAACAUUUUUCUAUUUAAAUAAAAUACAGAGAGAACAGUUCAAUAGUCAUUGUUGAGAUUACUAUUAUUAUUAAUAUUAUUAUUAAAACAAAAUUAACCCAUAUUGUUUUAUCGUUAUAUCAGAUUCAAGGAAGCUUUUGAGAUUUUAUGAGCGUUCACCUAAGUAAAUCAUUAAUUGGGUUUGUAAAAUUUGUCAAAAAGAAGUUUUGAGAAGAAGAGACCUUUUUAAAAUUGUCAAAUUGAUUAUGACUGCUUAGGGCACCAUCCCUGUCCACACUCUGAAUGCCUUUGCACCUUCAAGACUCACAGUGCCCACCUGUACGAGACCUGAUGGAGACAUGGCCUGCCCUUUUUGAUGUUGUUCAGGUGAAAGAGAAAUACAGAAGUUUGACUGCCGUUUGUUUGGAAUCACAAUUCUAUUCUAACUUGGACAAGGAUCCAAAUCCAUUAAGUACAAAUGUAUUUUGAUGUUUUUUAAAUGCCAUUUCUAAAAAUAAACUGUUGUUUGAAGUUGACUAAA